rnacentral:rRNA from 1 species
CUACGGGAGCAGCAGUGGGGAAUAUUGGACAAUGGGGGAAACCCUGAUCCAGCAAUGCCGCGUGUGUGAAGAAGGCCUGCGGGUUGUAAAGCACUUUCGGUUGGGAGGACUGCUUCUAGCACUAAUAUUGUUGGAAGUUGACGUUACCUUCAGAAGAAGCACCGGCUAACUCCGUGCCAGCAGCCGCGGUAAUACGGAGGGUGCAAGUGUUAAUCGGAAUUACUGGGCGUAAAGCGCGCGUAGGCGGCUAGAUCAGUCGGGUGUGAAAGCCCCGGGCUUAACCUGGGAACUGCAUCCGAUACUGUCUAGCUUGAGUACAGGGGAGGAGAGUGGAAUUCCACAUGUAGCGGUGAAAUGCGUAGAUAUGUGGAGGAACACCAAUGGCGAAGGCAGCUCUCUGGCCUGAUACUGACGCUGAGGUGCGAAAGCGUGGGGAGCAAACAGGAUUAGAUACCCCCGUAGUC